CAUUCUGUUCCCUCCACACUCUCCAGCCCCCAGUUGCAUCUCCCUUUCCACUGCAGAGGCCUGCUCUCCUGUCCUUGAGCCUCCCCUUCAGUGGACACCUGAUUUCCCCUGCCUCCCAAAGGUGCCAGAGUGCUUUUACCCUUCAAGUUUGGUUUUUCUUUUAUAUAUCUGUAUAUUAUACCUCCUUGUUUCAUCUGAAAGUCUGAUUUCUCAUGUUUCCUCAUUGUAAAUGAUAGAGGUAGGACUUUUUCUGAUUAUGUUCACAACACUGUCCUAAGAGUACUGUAAUUAUUGUAGUGGAAAAAUAAUUUUCCUGACCCAGGACGGGGAGACAAUAGAUACAGUAAAAUUUAACUCUAACUCUCAGCUGACUGGGCAACUCACUUCCCCUCAGAUUCUUCUUUUGUAAAGUGGGCUGGGCCACAUGAUCUCUCAUUUCUGUCAAACUGUAACUGUUUUGACUUUGUGGGUAUUAGUUGAGAAUUUAGAGGCCACUCAGGACAGAUUCUAGGCAGUGCUGUCUUUGAGAUGAGGUCAUUCUGCCCUUGACCCCUUAGACUUGAAACUUAAGAACAGGUCCAUCUUAGAAGCCACACUUAGUUUGUGGAAUCAUGGGGAUUAUUUUAGCUGUAGGGAAAAAAAAAAUGUUCAAAUUCGGCACAAAAUUAUCAUAUGUGACUUCCCCCUUGUGUUAUUUUAGAAAUUAUCUCUUAGCAUCUAAGACUUCAUAUAGUGUAGCAGCAUUGUCCCAGAAGAAGUUUUGAUUAACUUAUGACAGCUUAUGUUGUGUCAGAAAAUAUUCGGCACUUGUUUAUUGCUGCUGACCACAAGGUAGUCUUAUUCCCGAGGAAGAAAGUUAUUUGUUAGUUAUAAUAACUGUACAGUGGUAUUGAUGACAGAACCACAGAGACUUUCCUUGAAGCAUUGAGCUGCUUUGCUACCAACAACUGGAGGAGCUGCCAGCUGCUGAGUGAGGUAUUUGCUCUCUGAAUUGCAGGGUCUCAUUCCCCUCCAAGAUGAGACAAAUUCAUGCUUUUCCUGUAGAUGGCUUUAGAGGUUUCCUUAACCCAUUUAGGCCAAGAAUCAGGCUCUACUCACAGGAGGGUGGGCUCUUACUAGAGGAGCAGCUUGGUAUUAAAGCAAGAAAAUGACCUUUAAUGUCUUAGUUUGAAUCCUUGGUCUCCUAAACCCUCUGGUGUUAUUUUCCCUCUUUAAGAGGAAGACAGGCCAGGCACAGUGGUUCAUGGCUGUAAUCCUAGCCCUUUGGGAAGCAAUCCUCAAGAGGAUUGCUUGAGCCCAGACAGGAGUUUGAGACCAGCCUGGGCAACAUAGUGAGACCCCCAUCUCUACAAAAGUAAAAAAGUUGGCUGGGCAUGGUAGUACACACCUGUGGUUCCUGCUACUCAGGAAGCUGAAGAGGGAGGAUCUGUUGAGCCUGGAAGGUCAAGGCUGCAGUGAGCCAUGAUUAUAUCACUGCACUCCAGCCUGGGCAACAGAGUGAGACCAAAAAAAUUUUUAAAAGACAGUAAUAGUCAAGGAUGGGGGGAUAAGUAAAGAUAAUGUAUUUGAAGUAUCUACCCUCAAUGAAUAGUAGCUUUUGCUAUUAUAACUUAUUUUUGUUAUUUACAAACUUAUCAAGGCAGACAAAAUAUUAUGCCCUUAGGAGUGUGCAGGUUCUGCUCUGGUGCUCCAGUUUUUCUGAAUCCAGCAUUCUAAAGUUGUACAUUAAAAAAUUCAGUCUGGCCGGGCACAGUGGCUCAUGCCUGUAAUCCCAGCACUUUGGGAGGCCAAGGCGGGCGGAUCACCUGGGGUUGGAUGUUUAAGACACAAUGGCACAUGCCUGUGAUUCUGGCUACUCAGGAGCCUGAGGCAAGAGGAUCCCUUGAGCCCAGUUCAAGGCUGCAUUGAAGGACGGUCUCAUCUUGCCACCAUGCUCCAGGCUGGGCAGUAUAGCAAAAACUUAAGUCAAAGAAAACAACAAUAAAACACACACACACACACACACCCCAUCCCACACACCUAACCUAGGAAGUUAUACUUGUGAUAAGACCAAAUACGUCAGGUUUCCUUGCUCAUAGCUGAAAUGUAAUAAACCUUUUCUGGUCACUUUGACAGCCUUGAUCAGAAGUUCUGACCUAAUAUUUAGCAAGCGAAAAUGGGAACACAAGUAAAUGCAUUUAGGGGGCUUAUGGUGAAAAUGUGAUAAAAGAUUGGUAGAAAAUUGGGAGACAUUCUCAUCCAUUUUAUAAACAUGUAAACUUUUCCAGGCACACAGCAAGGUGGUGAUAGAAUGCAGAAUGGAACUCUAGUCCCCUAGUUCUAGAGUUAUUUAAAAUAUAGUGCAUAUAAAAUAUUUUAGACACAUAGGCCAGGCACGGUGGCUCAUGCCUGUAAUCCCAGCACUUUGGGAGGCCGAGGCCGGUGAAUCACUUGAUUUGAGACCAGCCUGGCCAGCACGGCAAUACCCUGCCUCUACUAAAAAUACAAAAAUUAGCUGUGUGUGGUGGCAUAUGGCUGUAAUCGUAUCUACUGGGGAGGCUGAGGGAUGAGAAUCGCUUAACCUGGGAGGCGGAGGUUGCAGUGAGCCAAGAUUGUGCCACUGUACUCCAGGCUGGGUGACAGAGCAAGACCCCAUCUCAAAAAAAGAAAAAAACGUAUUUUAGACACACACAAAAAGCAUAAAAAGUAAUAUAAUGAACAUUAGUGUGCCCACUGCCCAGCCUGAGGAAAAAGACAUUAUUAGCUGGGCCCAGUGGCUUAAGCCUGUAAACCCAGCACUUGGCUGAGGCAGGUGGAUCAAGAGGUUAGGGGUUCAAGACCAGCCUGGCCAACAUGAUGAAACCCUGUCUCUAUAUACAAAAUUAGCCAGGCAUGGUGGCACAUGCCUGUAAUCCCAGGUACUCGGGAGCCUGAGGCAGGAGAAUCACUUGAACUUGGGAGGUGGGAGUUGCAAUGAGUUAAGAUUGUGCCACUGCACUCCAGCCUAGGCAACAGAGGGUGACUCCAUCUCAAAAACAAGAAAAAAAGAAAACAUUAUCAAUACCGUUGAUGCCCCCAUGGGCAUCUUUCCUUGAUCACAUACCCUUUCUCCCCUACUCCCACAACCCCCCACCCUAUUACUAGCAUGGCCAAGGUAUAAGCACUGUCCUGAGGUUAGUGUUUAAUCCCCACAUCUCUUUCUGCAAUGAGCAUUUUACUGCCUUCUCUGCCUACCUCUGCUUCCACCUCACUCCUAGUAUUGCUUCCCUUUAGUCUAAAGGUAGUCAGAACGAGAAAAGUGUUUAUAGCAGAAAGAGAGAAGAGAGAAAACCCAUAGAAAAGUCCUCCCGAAGGCUGGGGGCGGUGGCUCACGACUGUAAUCCCAGCACUUUGGGAGGCUGAGGUGUGUGAAUCACUUGAACCUGGGAGGUGGAGGUUGCAGUGAGCAGAGAUCACGCCAGGCAUUCCAGCCUGGGAGACAGAUUGAGACUCCAUCUCAAAAAAAAAAAGAAAGAAAAGUCCUCCCUAACCUCACAGAUUAGCUCACCUGAGUAUCUGCUCUUCCAUCUUCCCCUUUCCAUCUCUAAUCACAUAGCUUAUUGACUGGGAAUAAGUGGGCUGGUCAUUUGAGCCACAUGCUGGUUUGGGGCCUGAAGAAAAAUAUAUAUUUUUUUCUCAUGUCCAAAACACCCAUUUCUUCCCAUGGGGGCUCCAUAUCCAAAUAAGAGUAUAAACAAAGCUUUGGAAACACAAGCAUGCCAAACUCUGUCCUGGAGGAAGUGGCCAGAGAGGGAAAUCAGUUGCCAAUGGAUAAACAGCCUGGACCCAGGGACCAAAGUCUUAUUUACACAGCCUCCCAGUGUUUACCCAGGAAAUGAGGAAGAGAGCCACCCGCUGCAUACUCCCUCAUGCAGCCCCACUUCCUCAGAGCACCUGAUCUUGGCACCUCCAAGUUCAAGGCAGACCAGAGCUGGUAAUUCCGGUGGUUAUUGUAGAUAUUGAGCUUCUACUGUGUCUUGUGAUUUUACAUCACAGUCCAAACUGGGCUCUUCUGCUCUCAUCCAGGGCACGCCUUCCUCUACUUUAGGAACCCCUGUUGAUAACAGUGGGUACAGUAGAAGGCUGGGCAAGAGAGUAAGUAUGCAGCCCCACACCUGCCUCUGACUUCCUGUAGCUCAUUGAUGUCUCACAGCAGUUACCUUUUCUUUCUUUCCUUUUUUUUUUUUUUUGUUUGAGAUGGAGUCUCGCUCUGUUGCCUAGGCUGGCUAGAGUGCAGUGGUGCGGUCUCGGCUCAUUGCAACCUCCGCCUCCCAGAUUCAAGUGGUUCUCCUGCCUCAGCCUCCUGAGUAUCUGAGAUUACAGAUGCAUGCCCGGCUAAUUUUUGUAUUUUUAGUAGAAAAGGGGUUUCGCCAUGUUGGCCGGGCUGGUCUCAAACUCCUGACCUCAAGUGAUUUGUCCCCCUUGGCCUUCCUAAGUGCUGGGAUUACAGGUGUGAGCCACCGCGCCUGGCCAGCAGUUAUGUUUUCUGUGAGAGGAAAUUGGAGCUAUAAGUGUCCUCUAGGUCUGGGAGUCUACAGCCUCCAGGUGUGCUUUCCUUCCUGUUUUCAUUUCAUUUGCCUUAUUAUUUGCAUAUGUUUCCACAUUAUGUACUACUUGGUACUUUCACCCCAUUAGGUCCAAAAUAACUUUACUCCAGUCGACACUGUGAAUGUAGGAGUAAGACACAGGACUGUGGGAGUCAAGACCCCUGAACCCUGAUUCUGGUUCUGCUACUGCCUGGUUUUAUAACUUUGGGAAAAUCACUUAACUUCUUGGUAUCUGUUUGUUCCUCCACACAGUGGGGUUGAUAUCUGUCUUGUUCAGCUCAUAGAGUUGUUAUGAGGAUCAAACGAGGUUGUGUAUGUGAAAGGACUUGCAAAAGAGCCAGGGUAUAUUUUCACAGACAGAUAUUUUCACAGAUACUGUAAGACAGACAAACCGGUUGGGUGCAGUGGCUCAUGCCUGUAAUACCAACACUUUGGGAGGCCGCGGCAGGUAGAUCACAGGGUCAGGAGUUCGAGACCAGCUUGGCAACAUGGUGAAACCUGUCUCUACUAAAAAUACAAAAAUUAGCUGGGCAUGGUGGCGGGUGCCUGUAAUCUCAGCUACUCAGGAGGCUGAGGCAGGAGAAUCACUUGAAACUGGAGGGCAGGGACACUGUCCCAGUUGCCACCUAGCCUCGGAUCUCCAUCCAGCCUCCAGCGAAGACAUCCCAGCCAUGGCCAUGCAGAAAAUCUUUGUUUGGGAAAUCCUGGACUCCAGGGGCAACCCCACAGUGGAGGUGGACCUGCACACAGCCAAGGGCUGAUUCUGAGCAGCUGUGCCCAGUGGGGCAUCCACAGGUAUCUAUGACGCUCUGGAACUAAGAGAUGGAGACAAAGCCCACUACCUGGGAGUCCGGAAGGCUGUGGAACACAUCAACAAGACUCUAGGCCCUGCUCUGCUGGCCUAAAGAAACUAAGUGUUGUGGAUCAAGAAAAAGUUGACAAAUUUAUGAUUGAGCUAGGUGAGACCAAGAAUAAGUCAAAAGUUUGGGGCCACUGCCAUCCUAGGUGUGUCCUUGGCCGAGUAUAAGGUGGGAACAGCUGAGAAGUGGGUCCCCCUAUAGCACCACAUUGCAGAUUUUGCUGGGAACCCUGACCUCAUACUCCCAGUGCCAGCCUUCAACAUGAUCAACGGGGGCUCCUAUAGUGUAAACAAGUUGGCUAUGUAGGAAUGCAUGAUUCUGCCUGUGGAAGCCAGCUUCUUCAAGGAAGCCGUGCUCACUGGUGCUGAGGUCUACCGCCACCUUAAGGGGGUCAUCAAGGCCAAGUAUGGGAAGGAUGCCACCAAUGUGGGUGAUGAAGGUGGCUUCGCACCCAACAUCCUGGAGAAUAAUGAAGCCCUGGAGCUGCUGAAGACGGCCAUCCAGGCAGCAGGUUACCCAGACAAGGUGGUGAUUUGCAUGGAUGUGGCAGUGUCUGAGUUCUGUUGAAAUGGGAAGUACGAUCUUAACUUCAAGUCACCUGAUAAUCCCACAUGACACAUCACUGGGGAGAAGCUCAAGGGCUGUAUAAGAGCUUCAUCAAGAACUAUCCCGUGAUCUCCACCAAGGACUCCUUUGACCAAGAUGACUGGGCCACUUGGACCUCGUUCCUCUUGGGGACGGACAUUAAGAUUGUAGGGGGUGACCUGACAGUCACCAACCCCAAGAGGAUUACCCAGGCUGUUGAGAAGGCCUGCAGCUGUCUGCUGCUGAAGGUCAAUCAGAUCAGCUCAGUGACCAAAUCAAUCCAGGCGUGCAAACUGGCCCAGUCUAACGGCUGGGGGGUGAUGGUGAGCUACCGCUCUGGGAAGACUGAGGACACAUUCGUUGCUGACUUUGUGGGGCUCUGCACAGGACAGAUCAAGACUGGCACCCCCUGACACUCGGAGUGUCUGGCCAAAUACAGCCAACUCAUGAGGAUCGAAGAGGCUCUUGGGGACAAGGCUAUCUUUGCUGGACACAAGUUCCAUAAGCCGAAGGCCAGUGAGAAGCUGGAGGCUCCAGGACUCCACUAGAAGACCAGGUCUUCCAGAUCUGCUUCCUGAAAUAAACACUGGUGCCAACCAAAUAAAAAGAGAAAAAGAAACCAGAGGUUGGAGGUUGCAGUGAGCUGAGAUCCCGCCACUGCACUCUAGCCUGGGCGACCGACAAGAGCAAAACUCCAUCUCAAAAAAAAAAGGCCGGACAAGGUGGCUCACGCCUGUAGUCCCAACACUUUGGGAGGCCAAGACGGGUGGAUCACAAGGUCAAGAGAUCAAGACCAUCCUGGUCAACAUGGUGAAACCCCGUCUCUACUAAAAAUACAGAAAAUUAGCUGGGCACGGUGACGCAUGCUUAUAAUCCCAGCUACUCAGGAGGCUGAGGCAGGAGAAUUGCCUGAACUCAGGAGGUGGAGGUUGCGGUGAGCCAAGAUCGUGACAUUGCACUCCAGCCUGGGUAACAAGAGCGAAACUCUGUCUCAAAAAAAAAAGAAAAACAGUGGUGGGGCUGGGCGCAGUGGCUGACGUCUGUAAUCCCAGCACUUUGGGAGGCCAAGGUGGGUGGAUCUUGAGUCAGGAGAUCAAGACCAUCCUGGUCAACAUGGUGAAACCCCAUCUCUACUAAAAAUACAAAAAAUUAGCUGGGCAUGGUGCCGUGUGCCUGUAAUUCCAGCUACUCAGGAGGCUGAGGCAGGAUAAUUGCCUGAACCCAGGAGGCGGAGGUUGCAGUGAGCCGAGAUCGCGCCAUUGCACUCCAGCCUGGGUAACGAGUGAAACUCCGUCUCAGAAAAAAAAAAGACAGACAGACCAAAGCCUAAGGCCUGCAUACUGCUUCUGCUAUUUACUAACAGUUCACCUUUCUGAACUUGUUUCCCUACUUAUUUUUUUUUAUUUUUUAUAUUUUUUUUGAGACAGGGUCUCACUCUGUCUCGCCCAGACUGGAGUGCAGUGGUGCGAUCUCAGCUCACUGCAACCUCCGCUUCCCGGGUUCGAAUGGUUCUUCUGCCUCAGCCUCCCAAGUAGCUGGGAUUACAGGUGUCUGCCACUACACCUGGCUAAUUUUUGUAUUUUUAAUAGAAUGGGGUUUCGCCAUGUUGCCCAGGCUGGUCUUUAACUCCUGGCCUCAAGGGAUCCUCUUGCCUCAGCCUCCCAAAAUGCUGGAAUUACAGGUGUGAGCCACUGCACCAGCCCCUGUUUCCCUAUGUAUAAGAUGGGACCAAAUUUUACCUCAGAAGUUUGUGCGAAGAUGGAUGAUCUCAGGUUUUGAAGGCAUGUAGCGCAGUGUCUGGCCUGUUGUAAGUGCCCAGUGAACGAUAGUUCUCUGAGUCUCUGUCCUUCCCUCUUGUUUGUCAGCUGGCAUGAGGUCCAGAGGAUAAAUUUUUCUCCCUCAAGGAACGAACCAACAUUUUCCCAGUUACUAACUGCUUCUCCAUGUUAGAUUUUUGUUAAUUUUCUGACUAGUGGAUGAGGUGGUAAUCAUUACUGCUUCUUAUAGAUAAUGGGCUAAGACCAAGUGUGGUGGCACAUACCUAUAGGGAGGCCAAGGCAAGAGGAUUGCAUGAGGCCUAGGGAAUGUAGUGAGACUCUGUCUCU